AAGCUGUUACUUAUAUGUCCUUCACCAUCAGAACCUUGUACAAUUGUAAUUUUCUUGCAUUUUCUAUAUGGCAUUUGGUCUACUAUUUUACUCUUUUCCAAGUGCAUAGAAGCUUUCAAAAUUAUAAUUAUUUCUUAGCAUAGAAGAGCUGGGUCACUCUUUCAUCGUCCUCCUUUCACAUUAACUUACACUGGGAUUUGCUAAAUGACAAAAUGGGACAUUUACUAUCUUCUUCAACCUCCAAGAUUCCAACCAGAUUACCCGUUGUGUAAUUUUUUAAACCAAGUUAAAUGGGCACAGUUCCGCUGUAACCGUAAAAUCCCUCAUUUCUGGUUCCAAGUUCCAAUCUUCCUUAUUGGUCUUGCUUUCAGCGACGUCAUUUUAGAAGGUUGUCAAGGCUUCGCCUCAAGGUUCUUUUUCUCUUAUGCCCAUCAUGUAUUCGAUGAUAUGCUUUCAUCGGCUAUGUACAUCUUCUUUUAGGAGAAUUUCGGUAGUUUCAGCAAGAGAACUAAAGUCCCUAAUUGUUGUUGUUCUUGGAACGGAACUGUAUAAAAUUGGAAUUCUUCAUCGGCUGCGAGUGGUGUGGGGCACGUGAACGUUGAUGGUCGACGCGAUGCCGGAUAAGGCGGUGGAGAGGCUGCUGGGUGCAAUAGGUGCCCGGAAUUUCAACGGAUUCGAGCCUGUGUAGUUUGUCCUUGAUUAAUUUGCUGAUAAGAAAGGUUGCUAACAAUCGCAAGGUGAAUAUCAAGAGCUUCAAUUGAAAGAAGGAUCGAAAUACUGGAUUUUUCUUUUGCUACUAUGAGAAAGAAAAACACACCAUGACAUGGUUAACACAAAAUGAGAAGAUCGAUAUAUUGUGCAGUGUAGUCCAAUUAUUUGGCAGGGAUUUUUUUUUUUUUUUUUCUCAAAGGAGAUAAAUACUGUUGGCUUCUGGGGUUAACUACAAUUUAAGUAAAUUUCACGGAGACCUGCCUAAUUUAUUGUUUGUUUAUAAAUUAAUAAGUUUGAAUAGCAAGUAGAAAAGGUCAAAGCACCAGACUAUCUUGGUCCUCUUGGAGUUUCUUAUUAGUUUCUUUCAUCUGUAAAUCUUAAAAGCUUCAAGUGACAAAGAAUACUAGGCAAAUUGCCAUUGCCGUUCAAUUUCCUACUUCCAAACUCAAGCGUCCAUGCAAUAAUCCACACCAGAAAACAUCUUUUACAUCCACCUUUUAGCCUAUAUAGUUGUCUCUGGUAAGCCGAGUAAGAACUCAACUGCAAUGGAAACUCAAGAUCUCACACAAAACAGCAUUCAUGAUGCGGUUAGAUCAGCUUUGAUCUUUCUGGGGACUGGGUGCUCCAACACCGUUCCCUUUGGAAUGUGCCUCAUCCAGCCAUCGGAUCCGCCCUGCCAUGUUUGCUACCAGGCCCUCUCUGUCCCACCUGAGCAAAACCCCAACUACAGGUGCAAUACAUCUCUUCUUAUAGAUUAUUGCCAGAGUGAUGAAAAACACAGCUAUAUAUUGAUUGAUAUUGGGAAGACGUUCAGGGAGCAAGUACUUAGGUGGUUUACUUUCCACAAGAUUCCUCGAGUGGAUUCUAUUAUUUUGAGCCAUGAACAUGCUGAUGCAGUUCUUGGUCUUGAUGACAUAUGUGCUGUACUACCAUUUAGUUCUACAAAUAAUAUUGAUCCAAUCCCCAUUUACCUAAGUCAGUUUACCAUGGACAGCAUUGCUUUGAGAUUUCCAUACUUGAUAAAGAAAAAUUUAAGGGAAAGCCAGAAAAUAAGACAAGUGGCAGCACAGCUGGAUUGGAAUAUUAUUGAGGAAGACUGUCAGAGACCAUUUGUUGCAUCAGGAGUAAAAUUUGUUCCUCUGCCAGUGAUGCAUGGAGAAGACUAUAUUUGCUUAGGUUUUCUCUUUGGUGAAAAAAGUAGAGUAGCUUACAUAUCUGAUGUUUCACGUUUUCCUGCAAGCACAGAAUAUGUAAUUUCAAAAGCUGGGGCUGGGCAGUUGGAUCUUCUUAUCUUGGAUGCUUCGCGAAAGUAUGGACUCCCUGGUGCUCACUUUUCCUUACCUGAGAGCCUUGAAGCUGUGAAGAGACUAUGUCCAAAGCAAGCUCUUUUUAUUGGGAUGGGUCAUGAGCUUGAUCAUUACAAAGACAAUGACUUUUUAGCAGAAUGGUCUAAGAGGGAAGGAAUACCAGUGCAGCUUGCACAUGAUGGCUUGAGAGUUCCUAUAGACAUAUGAUAAGGUGGGAUCAAGCACUUUGUUGAGUCACAUGCACUACAUUAAACAUUCCAUAUGUGGACUCUUUAAAGCUUCGGGUCAAUAUCAUGACUGCACACAAUACAAACAUAUUUCUUGGUGACUAAUGACUAAUGACAAGGAUAUUUGAAGGUAUUUAGGGGGAAAUUAUGAUUGGUACCUGUCACUGACAUGAUAUGUGUUGCAUUACUUUGUUUUGCUCCACCCAAAAAUUUAUCUUGGUCUCUGGGGGCAGGUUCCAACUCUCAAAGAUUUAAGACACAACCAUCUGUCAAGUAUGCAAUUUUGAAAUGCCCAACGCAAUAGAAUAUUGUUGUGGACAUGCUCUAGCUUUGACUGUUGGUAAAGCUGCUUUGUAUAUGCUAUCAGAGGAUUCAGAACAUUGUAUUUAAUGAACAUAUACAUGAUGGUAACACUAAAGCUCCAACUUAGCUAAAUUUAUUUUAAAUUAUUUAA